ACCACAGGGCACCACCAUGCUG
rnacentral:miRNA from 1 species